rnacentral:rRNA from 1 species
GUCGUACGAGAACACCCUAGCUUGCUAGGGUAAGUAAAGUGGCGCACGGGUGAGUAACGCGUGGGUAAUCUACCUUCGAAUUGGGGAUAACGUUGCGAAAGCGACGCUAAUACCGAAUAACAUCCAUUAAUCUUCGGGUUUUUGGAUCAAGGGUGGCCUCUACAUGUAAGCUACUGUUUGAAGAUGAGCCCGCGUACCAUUAGCUUGUUGGUGGGGUAAUGGCCUACCAAGGCAGCGAUGGUUAGCUGGUCUGAGAGGAUGAUCAGCCACACUGGAACUGACACACGGUCCAGACUCCUACGGGAGGCAGCAGUGAGGAAUUUUGCGCAAUGGGGGAAACCCUGACGCAGCAACGCCGCGUGAGUGAUGAAGGCUUUCGGGUCGUAAAGCUCUGUCAAGUGGGAAGAACCUGCAGUAUGCUAAUAUCAUAUUGCACUGACGGUACCACUGAAGGAAGCACCGGCUAACUCCGUG